rnacentral:lncRNA from 1 species
AAUUUGUGGCUGGCUCUAACCACCAGCCCCUGCUGUCAAGGAGGAGGGGCUCCCACAGGGAGCGGGAGAGAGGUUAGAGGCAGACUCUUCUCAGAGGGGCCCAGAAAAGGACUGAAAGGCAGUGGGCAGAAGUUGAGACGGGGAAAUCCUGCUGGGGCAGGGGCACAAACCCUUUGCCAGAGGCGUGAGGCAGCCCUGGGACAGGGUCUGGGACCAGGGGGUGGUUCUGCAUCUGGGGACACUGCCCUGGCCCAGAGCUUGAGCAAAGUGGUUUAAUAUUGAAGAUAGAUCUAAAAUGGAAGUUUGACUGGAAACUCCUGAGGUUCCUCCCCAAAAACCAAAAUGUAGCUCUGAUCCCACAAAAGGGAGUGGUGGAGAUAGAUUAAGUUGCAGUGAUAAGCCAAGGUGGAGACUUGUGAUACCAGGAAGGCCAUGGGCUGGGUCAGGAUAUCAGGGCUGGCUCAGGCAGGGAUGAUGUGGCAAAAUCUAGCUGUGCUCUAUAAAUCCAGCCCCAGUCUUACCAUCAUGCACAGUCUUAGUCUGAAGGACAGAGUACCCUGUUGCAAAGAAGAAGCCAUGGAGAGACGGAUCUGUGUUGCAUUCCUGGCCAUUUGUCUCCUGCUGCUGGGAGGCACUAAGGCAGCUUCCCUGAACUCACACAGCUUUAAUGGGAAUAUAGCCGGGGAUGGCAGCUUCAACGACAAUGGGAAUGGCUUCGAGUCCCCAGCCAUCUAUGAACCUCUGGGUGCCUCAGGCGUGAGUAUUUCCACUCUCAAGCAGCCCUUCUCCCCUUCCCACCCCACACAGGGCUCCUGGGGUGCCCCCUCCAUGUAUCACUCAGGACCUCAGGACAAGGGGGCACCAGGAGCCCCCAGGCAGCCCCACUAUAACAGCACUUUCAUUGCAGAACCAUGAGAGCUUCGACUGGAACAGGGUCGGCCACAACAGCUUCAAUGACAACGGG